UAUAGUGCUUCGUCAGACUGGCCAAUUCUGGCAUUAAGAUCACCAGCCACUAGCACUGAAGCUGCGGGGUUUGAGUCAUCAAACCAUCAAUGUAUGUUUCCAGCCCAUGCCAGGUGUUUUUAAUCAGCUGCUUGCCUCUUUGGGGGGGAAGAUAUACAUUAAUCAGUAGCAGGGUGAAGAAUCUACUUUUCACUAGUAAGGCCAUAGCCAGGUGUUUCAGUGUCUCUAGCUUUACUAAGGACGCCCUCAACCUUGUAGAUAUUAAAAUGCCUAGGCCACCCUUGACUCUCCCCCCUUUAGUGCUUGGGGAACCUGUGAGGGACAUUGAGGAAAAGCCGUUAACUUCUAGGUCUCCUGUGAGCCAUGUCUCCUGUAAAAAUACUAUGUCGUAGCCUUGGAUAAAUUUAACAAAGGAUGGGUCAGCUGCCUUUUUUUGCCAUCCUGCGAUAUUCCAUGAUAAAAAGCUAAGGUUGGCUUUACCAAAAUCCACUCCUUGUCAAUUAUCUUCCAAGGUACUGUUAGAGUUUCCCAUUCUACGUGGCAGCCGUCUGUCAUCCUUGCAUGGAGAGCUGCCCAGGAGUUCUAUGGUGUCAGAUGGUAAAUGUAAAGUGCUCACAUUGGUAGACACUGGGCCUUUGCUGUACAAGGCCUCCUCCUGGGGGUAUUCUACCUGGUUGUAGCCUAAUUCCGCUUCAUCUAAGUAUCUCAUUUUGGACCAAAAGCCUGGUGAGGUUUCCUUGGGCAUGUUUUUCCUUAUAGGGAGCGAUGCAUUGUUCUCCUUUGUAAGUUGUACUUUCUUGAUUGCAGGUAGAUUAAUCUCUGCCUUUAUCUGAAGGUUACGUGGUCGACGAGCCGCUGAAUCGGGUUCUUGUGAGAUGAUUAUUUUGGAAGGGCUCUUGCUCUUACUUUGGACGUCCACCUUAGUUUCCUUAUG